UAGGGAAUCUUCGGCAAUGGGGGCAACCCUGACCGAGCAACGCCGCGUGAGUGAAGAAGGUUUUCGGAUCGUAAAGCUCUGUUGUAAGAGAAGAACGUGUGUGAGAGUGGAAAGUUCACACAGUGACGGUAACUUACCAGAAAGGGACGGCUAACUAACGUGCCAG
rnacentral:rRNA from 1 species